UUUCUUUUUUUUUUGAGCAAAGAAUGCUUCAAAAGUUCUUGUUGGUUGGAUAUGAUGGAUCAGGAACCAGUACCAUAUUUAAACAGUAUAUAUAGCUAUCUGGGUGUACUGCUUGAGGGCCGUGAACGGUUUGAAGAAGAGACUUUGGCUGAGUAAAAGAAGAAACGACCAUGUGCUAGGACAGGGAAUGAAGGAUGUGAGAUUGAUGUUUUGAUGGGCUCACUAAAGUCAAAAACCAAUGACUUCGGCAUAUUUCUCUCUCUUUGGUUAAGAUUAUCUAUAUAAAAUUGAUUGUAAUAGACUUUGUUGGUUAAGAUCUUCUAUAUGAA